rnacentral:lncRNA from 1 species
UUCCCAAUCUAUUGGUCUCUCCGACAUCACCACACUUGAGAUCUCCAACCCCCUCUUCCUUUCUAUUUAUAAAAACUUUAAAAGGGCGGUUGUCGAUGCAUAUGUCUAUAAUAAAUAUUGCAGAUCUCGUUGAGUUGAUCUUGAUUUAGGUCAGCGUUGGAAGGAAAACCACUUCGCCAACAUAAUUGAUGGUUUCCCAAGGACAAGCUUGGUGUCCUAAAAUAAGCGCUGAUCAGAUCGUAACAUGAGUUUUUAAUUAUUUGCAACAUUACCUUGUGUAUUGAGCAUAUAAGGAUAAUUAUAAAAAUAUUCCUUCGGGUAUUCUUGUCACUAACCUUUCUAGGAUUGGAGCAAGAAGAUCGGAUGAAUGACAAGCACAAGGUAUGUCCAACCAAUCAUCAUACAACAUUAAAUUAAAUUCAUCCAAACUUGAAUUUUGCAAAAUUCAAGCUUGGGGGAGUACUUUACAUAAAAACAUCCUUUGCCAUGUUGCCAUGCUGGUUGUCCCUACCUUUGAGACAUGCUCAAUUUGUUAAAUACUAAUCACACUACUUCAUCUCCACUUGAGUAAAUCUCUAUAAAUGUUGUCAUGCUACCUUUGUCUAUUUACUAGCAAGUGUUGGUUUGGAAGUACUCGCCAUACUUCCAUUGGCAUUUAAAUUAAGCAUGGUGCUUAGGUUGAAUAGCCUUCCUUAAUCUGAUUAGACAUGGAGUCUAGUUUGGUUAUUGAACUAAAAAAACUGCUUGAGUAGAUAUUGGUAUAUUUUGUCGGACUAACCCCUGUAGAAAAACUUUUGAUAUCGAUUUGGGAAGUCCUGAGAUAAACUCACAUCAGAGACGAAGAAAGUGACACAUGAAGUUUAACAAUUAGCACAAGAAGGACAUAGCUCAUUCAUCAUAGAGAGAUGAUCCAUGGAGGGUGCCACAAACACGAUGCACAACCGCUAAGAAAGGAAAGCUUCCACAAGAUGAUACUGUACAAUCAGUCUUCAAGCAAGGUAACAUCUUAAGGUACUUGACUAUCACUUUUAUAAGCUUCUCCUUGGUUCUAGCGUUCAUAUAAAUAAAAGAGACAAACGUGUAUGAUUUACAACUCUAAAUUAACCAACCCAAAUGAUUCAACAUGUUUAGUCCUUUAAUCCUUGUUCUUAAUACAACCUCCAUGAUCCCACACUCCUAAUCAUAUGAGCUAAAAUGUUGCACACUCAAUCUUUGAAAGAUAUAAAAAAAACAUAAAUAUAGAUAGAUUAUCUUUCCAUUAGGGUGAGCGAUCUGAUCUGACAAAUGUUUUAAAUGUUACACUCAUGAUCUUAUUAUCCAUCAACUUUGUCUUGCUCACUAUGCUUAGGGUUAGAGAAGAACAAAUACACUUUAGGUUCUGUUGGUGUUUUCCACCAACAGGACCCAUGCACUUGAUCUCUGCCUUGUCUCUAUGAGCAGGUACACUUCGAGCAAAACACGGAGGAGUUUUAUAACUCUCAGACUCUACCAAGUAAAGGACCUGGAUCUACGAGCACAAACACACUGAGCAGGAUACUGCCAACGCCGCACUUCGAACUGCUAGGCAAACGAAGAGGUGCAGACGUCAAGGUCCACACCUGAAUCAAAUGACGCACCUGAAGAAUGAACACGGUGAGAAGUCUUGUUAAGAAGACUUAAAACAUUGAACCAUCGCCGAAAGGUAAGAUUGGUAGUUAUCUAUAUUUAUCCUUUCUGCAUUUCCUUUUUCCUUUAAUUAUUUACUUUCCUUAAAUAGAUUAUUAGUUCAUCAUGCUAUCUUGAAAAAAAAAUAAAAAUGUUAAAAAAUACUAAGCCCCAUGUGAGUAUACGAGUGGCAUAAAACCCAUAAGUACCUUCACUGUGGUGGCAUAAAAAUAAAAUAAAUAUUUCUUUUCUACUUUAUAAAAUAAAAAUAUAAAAACAGGGAGUAAUAUUUAUUGAGGAAGCUCAACGUGAUGAAGGCUAGAUAUUUAUGCUAACACUUAAUUAGUUCCACAAGCUUUGUUGUCUAUUUGAGCUCCACAGAAUUUAAGAAUCAAGAAGACUAGCAGACGGAGGACAUUCUAAUCGCUGUCAGAAUGCUGGUGACUUUCAGAUACACCUCUGCCACCUGCUAGCUAAAUCAAGAGAAAUUACGUCAAAAUUCAACUUGGGGGAGAGCACCCCUAUUUAUCUCGCU